rnacentral:misc_RNA from 1 species
GAUGAAGAACGUAGCGAAAUGCGAUAAGUAGUGUGAAUUGCAGAACUCAGUGAAUCAUCGAAUCUUUGAACGCACAUUGCGCCCUCUGGUAUUCCGGAGGGCAUGCCUGUUCGAGCGUCAUUAAAACUACUCAAGCUAAGGUUUUACCUUCUGCUUGGUCUUGGGUUUGAGGAUUCAAAAUCCUCUCUCCGAAAUCCAGUGGCGAAUUGUUUGAGCUGUAGACGUAGUAAAUCAUUCUACCCGUUGCAAGCGAGAAUAAUAUUCAGCCAUAACCCCCAUACUUUUCUAGUUUGACCUCGGAUCAGGUAGGGAUACCCGCUGAACUUAAGCAUAUCAAUAAGCGGAGGA